UCUCCCAGCAUUCCCAGUCCCCACUCCCUGACUGAAGCCGGGAUUUUCCUUGGAAAAGCCGCAGGAGCUCCGAUCCCGGAAUUCCCACCAGACGUUCCUGGCACUCCCACCAAACAUUGCUAUCAAACAUUCCCAGAAUUCCCAACAAAUAUUCUGGGAAUUCCCACCAAACAUUCCCAACAUUGCCACCAAACAUUCCCCCAGACAUUCCCGAAAUUCCUGAUGUUCCCAGAAUUCUCACCAAACAUUCCCAGGAAAUAUUCCCACCAAACCUUCCUGGAAUUCCCACCAGACAUUUCCCACCAUUCCCACCAGACAUUCCUGGUGUUCCCAACAAACAUUCCCAAUGUUGCCACCAAAUAUUCCCCCAAACAUUCCUGAUGUCCCAAUAAUCCCGGAAUUCUCACCAAACAUUCCCAUCCAACAUUCCCAACGCUCCCAACAAAUAUUCUGGGAAUUCCCACCAAACAUUCCAAACAUUCCCACCAAACAUUCCUAACUUCCCAGCAAACAUUCCCACCAAACAUUCCCAGAGUUCUGACCAAACAUUCCCAACACUCCCACCAGACGUUCCCGGAAUUCCCUGAUAACCAUUCCCAGUAUUCCCAGCAUUCCCAGCAUUCCCAGAUUCCUACCUGAGCUCCUCCAUCUCCUUUUUCCGGCGGAGCUCCUGCAGCUCCAUCUGGCACCGUCACCAAACAUUCCCAGCAAACAUUCCCACCAAACAUUGCCAACAUUCCCACCAAACAUUGCCAACAUUCCCACCAAACAUUCCCACCAGACAUUCCCGGAAUUCCCAGCAGACAUUCCCAGUAUUCCCAGCAUUCCCAGAUUCCCACCGGAGCUCCUCCAUCUCCUUUUUCCGGCGGAGCUCCUCGCGCUGCUCCCGCCGCUGCUCCUGCAGCUCCAUCCGGCGCCGCCCCCGCUCCUCCCGGUCCCGGCACUCCCGCUCGGCCGCCAGGUCCGGGAAUCGCUCCACGCGCGUCCGCUCCAGCCGGCGCAGCUGCUCCGCCCCGCGCCGCUCCACCGUCACCGAGCGCACCUGGAGCGGGGAUAGACUGGGGUUAAACUGGGGUUAAACUGGGAUUGAACUGGGGUUAAACUGG
rnacentral:lncRNA from 1 species